GAGACGGAGGGUGCAGGCGCCGCGCCAUCUCGGCCAUCUUGGCGAGCGGUCGGUUGGGUCGCAGGUUCCUCUGCGGGGACAGCUCGCGGCACUCGGGGCACGCGUACGGGCCCUCGGGCUGGCCCCAGCAGCGCCGGAUGCACUCGCGGCAGAAGUUGUGGCCGCAGUCGGUCAUCACCGGAUCCGUAAAGUAGUCGAGGCAGAUGGCGCAGGUGGCCUCCUCUUGGAGCUCCGGAUUGGCCGUGCCCUGUCACGCGGCCCGCGGGCCGGACAGAAUUGGAGGCUGCUCACCCGGGGAUCUUGCGUUGCCGCCGCCGCCUGCGCUGCUGCCUCUGGGCUGUUGCGGUGUUGCACCGCCUGGCCUCUCGGUCGGGCCUGGGGAAAGGACCCAAAUAUGGAAUUUGUGGAGGACAAAGAAGGUAGAUACUUGAGGCCUUGGCUCUACAUAUAAAAACCUGAACCAUGGAGGAGCCAAUGAAUGGCAACAUCUCAAGUGGAGAUUGAGGGACGUGGCUAAAGAACACUGCACCACGCUGUGCCUGGUACAUAUGUUUUUAGAAACUGAACCACUGUGGAAGUUUUCUUCUCUAUGAAGCAUCUGUAAAUAUAGCCUCUUAAUGUUUAA